GAUGAACGCUGGCGGCGUGCCUAAUACAUGCAAGUCGAGCGAACAGACGAGGAGCUUGCUCCUCUGACGUUAGCGGCGGACGGGUGAGUAACACGUGGAUAACCUACCUAUAAGACUGGGAUAACUUCGGGAAACCGGAGCUAAUACCGGAUAAUAUAUUGAACCGCAUGGUUCAAUAGUGAAAGACGGUUUUGCUGUCACUUAUAGAUGGAUCCGCGCCGCAUUAGCUAGUUGGUAAGGUAACGGCUUACCAAGGCAACGAUGCGUAGCCGACCUGAGAGGGUGAUCGGCCACACUGGAACUGAGACACGGUCCAGACUCCUACGGGAGGCAGCAGUAGGGAAUCUUCCGCAAAGGGCGAAAGCCUGACGGAGCAACGCCGCGUGAGUGAUGAAGGUCUUCGGAUCGUAAAACUCUGUUAUUAGGGAAGAACAAAUGUGUAAGUAACUAUGCACGUCUUGACGGUGCCUAAUCAGAAAGCCACGGCUAACUACGUG
rnacentral:rRNA from 1 species